rnacentral:rRNA from 1 species
GAUCAUGGCUACGAGGACGAACGCUGGCGGCGUGCCUAACACAUGCAAGUCGAACGAAGCUCUGCGAUACAAGACUUCGGUCAAGUUGAACGGAUGACUUAGUGGCGGACGGGUGAGUAACGCGUGGGUAACCUGCCUUGUACUGGGGGACAACAGUUGGAAACGACUGCUAAUACCGCAUAAGCGCACAGCUUCGCAUGAAGCAGUGUGAAAAACUCCGGUGGUAUAAGAUGGACCCGCGUCUGAUUAGCUUGUUGGUGAGGUAAACGGGCCCACCAAGGCGACGAUCAGUAGCCGGCCGGAGAGGGUGAACGGCCACAUUGGGACUGAGACACGGCCCAAACUCCUACGGGAGGCAGCAGUGGGGAAUAUUGCACAAUGGGGGAAACCCUGAUGCAGCGACGCCGCGUGAGUGAUGAAGUAUUUCGGUAUGUAAAACUCUAUCAGCAGGGAAGAUAAUGACGGUACCUGACUAAGAAGCACCGGCUAAAUACGUG